UAUGAAUCACUUGGUACUUGCGAACCAUGCCUCAUGGGCAAGAUGACUAAAACGCCGUUCUCCGGAACUAUGGAGCGAGCAACUGAUUUGUUGGAGAUCAUACAUACUAAUGUAUCUGGUCCAAUGAAUGUUGAGGGUCGCGGCGGGUAUCGUUAUUUUCUCACCUUCACAGAUGAUUUGAGCAGAUAUGAGUAUAUCUACUUAAUAAAACAUAAGUCUGAAACAUUUGAAAAGUUCAAAGAAUUUCAGAGUGAAGUUGAAAAUCAUCAUAACAAGAAAAUAAAGUUUCUACAAUCUGAUCGUGGAGGAGAAUAUUUGAGUUACGAGUUUGGUCUACAUUUGAAACAAUGCGGAAUAGUUUCGCAACUCAUGCCACUCGGAACACCACACCGUAAUGGUGUGUCCGAACGUCAUAAUCAUACUUUAAUAGAUAUGGUGCGAUCUAUGAUGUCUCUUACUAAUUUAUCGCUAUCAUUC
rnacentral:rRNA from 1 species